rnacentral:lncRNA from 1 species
UUUUUUUUUAACAAAAACAACACUGGACUUUAAGUCAGAAUAAUUCAAAUUAUUGCUUUGCCCUUCAUACAGAAGGUUUUAGGAAAGUUAACAGUUUCUGAUGAGGUUUCCACAAUCAGUAACAUGGGAAGCUAGGUGUAUGAAUAGGUAUCAGAACUGUGACAGUGUGUGAGGGCACUGGAACAGGGGACAUGUUGCAAAGCUCGACUAAUAUUUGCAAAAAUUACGGCUACCCACACAAACUUUUUUUUUUUACUCCUUAGAAAGUGGACACUCUUUCUAAGGAGUAAAACACACUUCCUAAUGCACCCCAGUUUGGAGGUUAUAAGUGAUGUCAGGUCUUGGUUCUGGCAUGGAGUGUUUUGCUGAGACUUCAUAUGGAUACUGUUGGGUGAGGGUUUGUUCAUGGGCUGAAAGUUGAACCUCUUAGUGAUCAGAUGGCCUCUGGCCCUCUGGCUGAUGACUACCACCUCAAUUUCUGUGAAAGUGAAGUUGUGUGAAAAGGCAAAUUGAAAGAGAAGAGAUGAAGUUUCUUAACCUAUAAAACGUUUUAUUUCUCUAUAACAGCUGUUAAAAUGAGAAAAGUCAAAUGUCUACAUAGCACACCUUUAGGGAAAAGGGCAAGGAUCAGGCAUUGCUUUUAGAGUAUCGAGGGAAUUAGCACAAAGACUGAGAAAAAUUAAUGGCUGUUGUGGUUCAAAUGUGUCACUGGGUUCAUUGUUUUCUACAACAAACCCAUGAGAGAUGUGACAGAAACACAGGCAAGAGGAGGAAUCGGGAUGCCUUUG